GGAGGACAUCACUCACAGAAGAAGCACCGGCUAACUCCGUGCCAGCAGCCGCGGUAAUACGGAGGGUGCGAGCGUUAAUCGGAAUUACUGGGCGUAAAGCGCGCGUAGGCGGCUUGAUAAGCCGGUUGCGAAAGCCCCGGGCUCAACCUGGGAACGGCAUCCGGAACUGUCAGGCUAGAGUGCAGGAGAGGAAGGUAGAAUUCCCGGUGUAGCGGUGAAAUGCGUAGAGAUCGGGAGGAAUACCAGUGGCGAAGGCGGCCUUCUGGACUGACACUGACGCUGAGGUGCGAAAGCGUGGGUAGCAAACAGGAUUAGAUACCCUGGUAGUCCACGCCGUAAACGAUGUCGACUAGCCGUUGGGCUCCUUGAGAGCUUUGUGGCGCAGUUAACGCGAUAAGUCGACCGCCUGGGGAGUACGGCCGCAAGGUUAAAACUCAAAUGAAUUGACGGGGGCCCGCACAAGCGGUGGAGCAUGUGGUUUAAUUCGAUGCAACGCGAAGAACCUUACCUACCCUUGACAUCGAGAGAACUUUCCAGAGAUGGAUUGGUGCCUUCGGGAGCUCUCAGACAGGUGCUGCAUGGCUGUCGUCAGCUCGUGUUGUGAAAUGUUGGGUUAAGUCCCGCAACGAGCGCAACCCCUGUCCUUAGUUGCCAUCAUUUAGUUGGGCACUCUAAGGAGACUGCCGGUGACAAACCGGAGGAAGGUGGGGAUGACGUCAAGUCAUCAUGGCCCUUAUGGCCAGGGCUACACACGUGCUACAAUGGCUAGUACAAAGGGUUGCUAACUCGCGAGAGUAUGCUAAUCCCAUAAAGCUAGUCGUAGUCCGGAUCGCAGUCUGCAACUCGACUGCGUGAAGUCGGAAUCGCUAGUAAUCGCGGAUCAGAAUGCCGCGGUGAAUACGUUCCCGGGCCUUGCACACACCGCCCGUAA
rnacentral:rRNA from 1 species